rnacentral:rRNA from 1 species
UACAGGGGGUGCAAACGUUGCUCGGAAUUAUUGGGCGUAAAGCGCACGUAGGCGGUUUGUUAUGUCGGAUGUGAAAGCCCUUGGCUCAACUGAGGAAGUGCAUCCGAAACUGGCAAGCUAGGGUAUGUAAGAGGGUCGCGGAAUUCCCGGUGUAGAGGUGAAAUUCGUAGAUAUCGGGAGGAACACCGGUGGCGAAGGCGGCGACCUGGGACAAUACUGACGCUGAGGUGCGAAAGCGUGGGGAGCAAACAGG